AUGAACACAACCAUCCUCUGGCCCCACGAGACGUCGCUUGCUUUUUGCGUUCCCACAGAAGAAUCAGCGACGAGCAGAAAGCGGACAUACGACGAGCAGAAAGCGGACAUUAUAGAGAUGGAAAGUGUUGGAAUCCAGAAACACAAAAUCAUGGAUGUGUUGUGCAUGCAGUACGGUGGAUAUGACCAGGUUGGAUGCACGACGAGGGACAUCUAUAACUUCUGCCAUCGCUACAAGCAGGAAACAGUCGCUGCUGGUGAUGCUCAGACGGUGAUCCGUCACAUGAUGGCGCGGCAAGAGAGAGACCCAGAUUAUUUCUUCAAAUACUUGGUUGAUAAACAUGGGCAUCUGAAGGGAUUGUUCUGGUCAAUACUCAAUCUCGCCUUGACUAUGAGGCUUUCGGCGAUGUUGUGGUUUUUGAUAGCACAUACAGGACCAAUAAGUACAAUUUGCUGUUUGUGCCAUUUGUCGGGUUGA
rnacentral:rRNA from 1 species